rnacentral:rRNA from 1 species
CACGUAGGGCGCGAGCGUUGUCCGGAAUUAUUGGGCGUAAAGGGCUCGUAGGCGGCCAACUAAGUCGGACGUGAAAUCCCUCGGCUUAACCGGGGAACUGCGUCCGAUACUGGAUGGCUGGAGGUUGGGAGAGGGAUGCGGAAUUCCAGGUGUAGCGGUGAAAUGCGUAGAUAUCUGGAGGAACACCGGUGGCGAAGGCGGCAUCCUGGACCAACACUGACACUGAGGAGCGAAAGCCAGGGGAGCAAACGGG